AGGUGUGGAGGCGGCAUUGGUUCUGGAAGAGGGUUGUCGGGGAGGAAGGAGUGGAGGUGCGAACGGUGGAGGCCGCGAAUUUGUCGAACCCGAACACGAACCCGAACCCAAACUAGUGAGAAGGGGUGGGUGGUGUUUGUGUUUGAGCUGCAAACAAUGGAGCACUCCUUUUAGCUGUAUCUUUCAAAUUUGCUGCAUCAUGUAAGCUUCAGAUAGUUGCUGCUACCAAUGUUUGCGCAUCAUGAACAAGCAUGUAAGAUAAGUAAAUCAAAUUGGCAACAAAAGGCAAAAUAAUUCUGCGCUCAGGGAAUUGAACGGAAUGCGAGCAAUUAUACUACACAGAUAGAAGUGGCGAGAUUUUCAUUGAUAUUUCACGAAAAAUCAGAAAAAAAAAAAAGAGAAAGAAAUACCUUGCCAAUUAAUUAAUUAAUCGUGUAAUAUUUCACGCUCGCUCUCAUCAUCAUAACCAAAAAAAAAAUUAGCUUGGAAUUUAGGAGAUUAAGGCGCAAUUAGCACAGGUGAACGAAUAAAAGGGCACGGGAAAUGGGAUCGUUCGAGAACCCUACCUCAUUAUCGUCGAUCUCGGCAUGCCGAUUGAGGGGAUUUGAAGGAGAAACCUUAAUUUGAAGGGAGAUUAGGGCUUGUAAUCGGAUUCCAUGGAAAUUAUUAUUAGGGUUACUGGGGAAGAAGAAAGGAGAGAGAGGAGUUGGGAGGGGUCGAACUGUACCUUAAUAAUUUUGCGAAAAGGAAACCAGAAUUGAACACGGGAAAGGCGGGACGCAAAAAGUACGUGUAUAUAU
rnacentral:lncRNA from 1 species